GGGUCCAUGGAGGUAAUGGCUAACCUCGCGAGGUUUGCCACCCCGAGAUGCGGGUUCGAUUCCCGCUGGAUCCACCA
rnacentral:tRNA from 1 species